GUUUGAUCCUGGCUCAGGAUGAACGCUGGCGGCGUGCUUAACACAUGCAAGUCGAGCGGAGAUAUUUGAAAGCUUGCUUUUAAAUAUCUUAGCGGCGGACGGGUGAGUAACGUGUGGGUAACCUGCCUUAUACUGUGGAAUAAUCACUGGAAACGGUGACUAAUACCGCAUGUCGUCACGAGAGGGCAUCCUCUUGUGAAAAAAGGAUUCGUUCGGUAUAAGAUGGACCCGCAUCUGAUUAGCUAGUUGGUGAGAUAAAAGCUCACCAAGGCAACGAUCAGUAGCCGACCUGAGAGGGUGAUCGGCCACAUUGGGACUGAGACACGGCCCAAACUCCUACGGGAGGCAGCAGUGGGGAAUAUUGCACAAUGGGCGAAAGCCUGAUGCAGCAACGCCGCGUGAAGGAUGAAGGGUUUCGGCUCGUAAACUUCUAUCAUUAGGGAAGAAAGAAAUGACGGUACCUAAAUAAGAAGCCCCGGCUAACUACGUGCCAGCAGCCGCGGUAAUACGUAGGGGGCAAGCGUUAUCCGGAAUUACUGGGUGUAAAGGGAGAGUAGGCGGCAUGGUAAGUUAGAUGUGAAAGCCUANGGCUUAACCCUAGGAUUGCAUUUAAAACUAUCAAGCUAGAGUACAGGAGANGAAAGCGGAAUUCCUANUGUAGCGGUGAAAUGCGUAGAUAUCGGNNGAACAC
rnacentral:rRNA from 1 species